AUUGAACGCUGGCGGAAUGCUUUACACAUGCAAGUCGAACGGCAGCAUAGGUGCUUGCACCUGAUGGCGAGUGGCGAACGGGUGAGUAUAUAUCGGAACGUGCCCAGUCGUGGGGGAUAACGUAGCGAAAGCUACGCUAAUACCGCAUACGAUCUAUGGAUGAAAGCGGGGGACCUUCGGGCCUCGCGCGAUGGAGCGGCCGAUAUCAGAUUAGGUAGUUGGUGAGGUAAAGGCUCACCAAGCCGACGAUCUGUAGCUGGUCUGAGAGGACGACCAGCCACACUGGGACUGAGACACGGCCCAGACUCCUACGGGAGGCAGCAGUGGGGAAUUUUGGACAAUGGACGCAAGUCUGAUCCAGCCAUUCCGCGUGCAGGACGAAGGCCUUCGGGUUGUAAACUGCUUUUGUACAGAACGAAAAGGUUUCUAUUAAUACUAGGGGCUCAUGACGGUACUGUAAGAAUAAGCACCGGCUAACUAGGUGCCAGCAGCCGCAGUAA
rnacentral:rRNA from 1 species